UACGAAGGGGGCGAGCGUUGUUCGGAUUUACUGGGCGUAAAGGGCGCGCAGGCGGCUAGUUUUGUCGAGUGUGAAAGCCCCGGGCUUAACCUGGGAACUGCGCUCGAAACGGGCUGGCUAGAGAUCGGGAGAGGAGAGUGGAAUUCCCAGUGUAGAGGUGAAAUUCGUAGAUAUUCGGAAGAACACCAGUGGCGAAGGCGACUUACUGGACACAUAUUGACGCUGAGGUGCGAAAGCGUGGGGAGCAAACAGG
rnacentral:rRNA from 1 species